CCUACGGGGGUCUGCAGUGGGGAAUUUUGGACAAUGGGGGCAACCCUGAUCCAGCCAUGCCGCGUGCGGGAAGAAGGCCUUCGGGUUGUAAACCGCUUUUGUCAGGGAAGAAAUCUUACGAGCUAAUACCUUGGGAGGAUGACGGUACCUGACGAAUAAGCACCGGCUAACUACGUGCCAGCAGCCGCGGUAAUACGUAGGGGGCAAGCGUUAAUCGGAAUUAGCGGGCGUAAAGCGUGCAGACAGGGGUGAAAUCCCCGGGCUUAACCUGGGAACUGCACGUGUGACUGUACGGCUGGAGUACGGCAGAGGGGGAUGGAAUUCCGCGUGUAGCAGUGAAAUGCGUAGAUAUGCGGAGGAACACCGAUGGCGAAGGCAGUCCCCUGGGCCUGUACUGACGCUCAUGCACGAAAGCGUGGGGAGCAAACAGGAUUAGAUACCCUUGUAGUC
rnacentral:rRNA from 1 species